CCUCCUGUGUUGCAUUCCAGUCAUUAGAAAUUACACAAACUAUUAGGGAGCAGUAGCAGAGCUGCUAACAAACCCUCUGAAUUAGGGUUUCCUUUCGAAUUGUAGUGGAGAAUAAAGAACGGACUAGUGAAGGCUUUGGAGCUGAAUAAAACAGGACAAUGAGAAAUUGAGAGGGGAGAGGGAGAGAAAAAGAGACACUUGCAGACCUACUUCGCCACUCCUGAGGCUUCCCCCCUUCAGACACCAGGUUCCAGAUGCUACCAUGAUGCUGACCAGACUUCCCUGGACAAACAACCCCACCAAUGUGUCAUGGAACUCCACUUCCUCAGAGCCCCACCCCACUAGGGAAAGAGAGAGACAGGCUGGAAGUAUGGAUUGACCUGCCAAUGCCCAUGUUCAGUGGGGAAGCAAUUACAGAAGCCAGACCUUCCACCUUUUGCACCCCACAAUGAUCCUGAGUCCAUACUCCCAGAGGGAUAAAGAAUAGGAAAGCUAUCAGAGGAGGGGAUGGGAUAUGGAGUUCUGGUGGUGGGAACUGUGUGAAGUUGUACCCCUCUUAUCCUAUGGUUUUUAUUAGUAUUUCCUGUUUAUAAAUAAAAAU